UAAACGAUCGACAUCGUUACAACGAGUGCAAGAAAAGUUUGCAAGAAUGGUAAUACGAUGUCAACGUUUGCACAGUUAUGACGUUGUUUGAAGACUAUGUUUCUCGUCUGAUCAAUUCGCCCACGCAAUUUAAUUAGGACUAAGCGACAAUCCUUGACCAGACGACAAUUUGUGGUGAAGUCAUGAAACAAUUUAAUAAAAAUUUGUUUCAUUUAAAAACUGAAAUAUCACAGUUUUGUAAUAUUACGUGUACAUCAUUUUGUCUGAUGAU